rnacentral:rRNA from 1 species
AGCUCCAAUAGCGUAUACUAAUGUUGUUGCAGUUAAAAAGCUCGUAGUCGGAUUUCAGUAUUUGAAACACAGCUCAGCAGAGUAUGUGUAUCAGUACUUCUUUGACAGAAACUUUCAUCUCAUUUACUUGUGGUGUUUGGGGACUGUCUCUUUUACUUUGAGAAAAUUAGAGUGUUCAAAGCGGGUUAUCGCCAGAAUAUUACUCUUGGAAUAAUGCUAUAGGACUCCGGUUCUUUUUUGUUGGUGACUUAGGACCGGAGUAAUGAUUGAUAGGGACAGUUGGGGUCAUUCGUACUGCAAAGCGAGUGGUGAAAUACAUGGACCUUUGUAUGACGAACUACUGCGAAAGCAUUUGACUAGGAUGUUCCCG